rnacentral:misc_RNA from 1 species
GUGAAUCAUCGAAUCUUUGAACGCAAAUUGCACUCUCCGGUAUUCCGGGAAAGUAUGCCUGUUUGAGGGUCAGCUUAAUAAAAAUCGACAUGGUUGCUGUUUUAUGUUGACUUUCGUCGGAGAUGGGUUAUCUUAAAUUUCGGUAUAAGAGACUUAAAAAUUUUUGUUACGAUUCUAAGUAUUUUUCUAAGUUUAUGUUUGUAUGUGUAAUGUAUCGAAUGUCUUGGUAGACGUGGCGGUCG